GUCCGGGUCUGGAGGUGUGUUAUGAAUUGUUUCUGUACUGAAAGCGUUUAGUUUGUCAGGAAAUCGCUUGUUAUUGAAGAAAUGUUUCUUUUUAUGUGUUCAACACUUGGAUUUGUUUCUGACUUGAUGUUUAUGUGUUAUUUUUAGAGGUUUGGUUCUUACUUGCAGAUCAAACUGCAGUAGCUUGUGAUGGAUGUCUUGCUUUUGGAAACCACAGAGUGUUUGUGCCGUCUGGUGUGGGUGAAGCGCCUUUGUGAGCGUUCAGCAGGAUUUUAACUCGCAGCACGCCUGACCUCAGACCGCCCCCCUGUCCCAGAGAGCAGCCCCAGAGGAGGAUGGUUCCACCACCAUGCUCCACAGGAGCUCAGCAUUCUUCUUCUCUGAUUUCCCUGUGCUGGUCUCAGGUGGGCGGGGCCAGCGGGGCUCUGGGUGGAGCUGGUUCCUGAGGACUGGAGGCUCCACUGCGGCGCUGGACUGGAACGCAACGAGUGGAGAGAAAAACCUUCCUGUUGGCUUUUAAAGGAAACUUCAAGACAUGUCUUCAACACUGGAGAAAUGGGACAGCAGAGAGCUGCCGCCUGACCUGUCAGAUCUGGUCAAUAAACUUCAGCUGGAUUCAGAUUCUUUCACCUCGCUGCUCAACAGCAAUGAACCAAGGAUGAGGGAGAUCGUGGAGGAGCUUCUGAGGAUUUCUGAAGAAGUCAAAGACAUGCAGAGAAGAAAAGACAGUCAGAGAAGAGUUGGAGCUGUUGUUGGAGCUGUAGGUGGAGUUGGAGCUGCUGUCUUCCUGCUCGGUGCAGCAUUCCCACUUACUCUUCCAAUUGCUGCAGCUCUUGCAGGUGGAGGUGCUGUCAUAUAUGCAAAUGUCACUAAAAUGCUGGUUGAGAGUGGAAAUGCUGAAAAGGUGAAGAAUCUGGGAGCAGAGUUGAUGGAGAUUGUUGAACCGAUGAAGCAGCUCUUGGUUCAUAUCCAUCAAACAUGUAAAGAUCUGGAGGAGAACGUCUCCAAGUAUCAGGCUGAAGAGUCCCUGAAAGAUGUGGAGGAUCUUCAGAAGGUCCUCCAUCAGGUGUCUGAGCUGAAGAAGAAGAGUGGAGGAGCUGUUCAUGUGGUGGAGGUGUUGAUUCAAUCAGUGACCAGCCUGCUGCUGCUGCUCGUGAACGUUUUCAGAGUCACUGCAACACCUGAAGAAGACCAGAAGCUGAGAGACGCCAUCAUUCAGUCAGCUGAUCAGAGCCAGAGGCUCACUGAGGACUUCUGUCUGAUGAGGGAGGAACUGGCAAAGUUCAGGAAGUGAAGAGAACACACACAUGUCCUGUGUGUUCACUAUUAACAUGUCAAAUUAUCUCAUUAAUUCAGUUCAGUCAUUACAGUCAGAUUUAGCAAGUUUUGUUCUUUUAUCCUGUUAAUCUAGUUAUUAAUUUCCAGCUGUAUUGCUUCUGUGUGUGAGUUUCCUUCAUAUAAAAAACUUUUUCAUGC